rnacentral:rRNA from 1 species
GUAACGGGGCUAAACCAUGCACCGAAGCUGCGGCAGCGACGCUUAUGCGUUGUUGGGUAGGGGAGCGUUCUGUAAGCCUGUGAAGGUGUGCUGUGAGGUAUGCUGGAGGUAUCAGAAGUGCGAAUGCUGACAUAAGUAACGAUAAAGCGGGUGAAAAGCCCGCUCGCCGGAAGACCAAGGGUUCCUGUCCAACGUUAAUCGGGGCAGGGUGAGUCGACCCCUAAGGCGAGGCCGAAAGGCGUAGUCGAUGGGAAACAGGUUAAUAUUCCUGUACUUGGUGUUACUGCGAAGGGGGGACGGAGAAGGCUAUGUUGGCCGGGCGACGGUUGUCCCGGUUUAAGCGUGUAGGCUGGUUUUCCAGGCAAAUCCGGAAAAUCAAGGCCGAGGCGUGAUGACGAGGCACUACGGUGCUGAAGCAACAAAUGCCCUGCUUCCAGGAAAAGCCUCUAAGCAUCAGGUAACAUCAAAUCGUACCCCAAACCGACACAGGUGGUCAGGUAGAGAAUACCAAGGCGCUUGAGAGAACUCGGGUGAAGGAACUAGGCAAAAUGGUGCCGUAACUUCGGGAGAAGGCACGCUGAUACGUAGGUGAAGCGACUUGCUCGUGGAGCUGAAAUCAGUCGAAGAUACCAGCUGGCUGCAACUGUUUAUUAAAAACACAGCACUGUGCAAACACGAAAGUGGACGUAUACGGUGUGACGCCUGCCCGGUGCCGGAAGGUUAAUUGAUGGGGUUAGCGCAAGCGAAGCUCUUGAUCGAAGCCCCGGUAAACGGCGGCCGUAACUAUAACGGUCCUAAGGUAGCGAAAUUCCUUGUCGGGUAAGUUCCGACCUGCACGAAUGGCGUAAUGAUGGCCAGGCUGUCUCCACCCGAGACUCAGUGAAAUUGAACUCGCUGUGAAGAUGCAGUGUACCCGCGGCAAGACGGAAAGACCCCGUGAACCUUUACUAUAGCUUGACACUGAACAUUGAGCCUUGAUGUGUAGGAUAGGUGGGAGGCUUUGAAGUGUGGACGCCAGUCUGCAUGGAGCCGACCUUGAAAUACCACCCUUUAAUGUUUGAUGUUCUAACGUGGACCCGUGAUCCGGGUUGCGGACAGUGUCUGGUGGGUAGUUUGACUGGGGCGGUCUCCUCCUAAAGAGUAACGGAGGAGCACGAAGGUUGGCUAAUCCUGGUCGGACAUCAGGAGGUUAGUGCAAUGGCAUAAGCCAGCUUGACUGCGAGCGUGACGGCGCGAGCAGGUGCGAAAGCAGGUCAUAGUGAUCCGGUGGUUCUGAAUGGAAGGGCCAUCGCUCAACGGAUAAAAGGUACUCCGGGGAUAACAGGCUGAUACCGCCCAAGAGUUCAUAUCGACGGCGGUGUUUGGCACCUCGAUGUCGGCUCAUCACAUCCUGGGGCUGAAGUAGGUCCCAAGGGUAUGGCUGUUCGCCAUUUAAAGUGGUACGCGAGCUGGGUUUAGAACGUCGUGAGACAGUUCGGUCCCUAUCUGCCGUGGGCGCUGGAGAACUGAGGGGGGCUGCUCCUAGUACGAGAGGACCGGAGUGGACGCAUCACUGGUGUUCGGGUUGUCAUGCCAAUGGCACUGCCCGGUAGCUAAAUGCGGAAGAGAUAAGUGCUGAAAGCAUCUAAGCACGAAACUUGCCCCGAGAUGAGUUCUCCCUGACCCUUUAAGGGUCCUGAAGGAACGUUGAAGACGACGACGUUGAUAGGCCGGGUGUGUAAGCGCAGCGAUGCGUUGAGCUAACCGGUACUAAUGAACCGUGAGGCUUAACCUUACAACGCCGAAG